rnacentral:rRNA from 2 species
CUUAAGCAUAUCAAUAAGCGGAGGAAAAGAAACCAACAGGGAUUGCCCUAGUAACGGCGAGUGAAGCGGCAACAGCUCAAAUUUGAAAUCUGGCGCAAGCCCGAGUUGUAAUUUGUAGAGGAUGCUUCUAGGUAGCGACCGGUCUAAGUUCCUUGGAACAGGACGUCAUAGAGGGUGAGAAUCCCGUAUGUGACCGGCCCGCACCUUCUACGUAGCUCCUUCGACGAGUCGAGUUGUUUGGGAAUGCAGCUCUAAAUGGGAGGUAAAUUUCUUCUAAAGCUAAAUACCGGCCAGAGACCGAUAGCGCACAAGUAGAGUGAUCGAAAGAUGAAAAGCACUUUGGAAAGAGAGUUAAAAAGCACGUGAAAUUGUUGAAAGGGAAGCGCUCACAACCAGACUUCUGGGCGGUGUUCCGCCGGUCUUCUGACCGGUCUACUCGCCGUCCCGAGGCCAACAUCAUCUGGGACCGCUGGAUAAGACCUCAGGAAUGUAGCUUCCCUCGGGAAGUGUUAUAGCCUGUGGUGAUGCAGCGCGUCUCGGGUGAGGUCCGCGCUUCGGCAAGGAUGUUGGCGUAAUGGUUGUCAGCGGCCCGUCUUGAAACACGGACCAAGGAGUCUAACAUCUAUGCGAGUGUUCGGGUGUCAAACCCCUACGCGUAAUGAAAGUGAACGGAGGUGGGAAGCGCAAGCUGCACCAUCGACCGAUCCUGAUGUCCUCGGAUGGAUUUGAGUAAGAGCAUAGCUGUUGGGACCCGAAAGAUGGUGAACUAUGCCUGAAUAGGGUGAAGCCAGAGGAAACUCUGGUGGAGGCUCGCAGCGGUUCUGACGUGCAAAUCGAUCGUCAAAUUUGGGUAUAGGGGCGAAAGACUAAUCGAACCAU